rnacentral:rRNA from 1 species
UACGUAGGGUGCAAGCGUUGUCCGGAAUUAUUGGGCGUAAAGAGCUCGUAGGCGGUUUGUCGCGUCUGCUGUGAAAGACCGGGGCUCAACUCCGGUUCUGCAGUGGGUACGGGCAGACUAGAGUGAUGUAGGGGAGACUGGAAUUCCCGGUGUAGCGGUGAAAUGCGCAGAUAUCAGGAGGAACACCGAUGGCGAAGGCAGGUCUCUGGGCCACUACUGACGCUGAGAAGCGAAAGCAUGGGGAGCGAACAGG